GUGAUGACCUUUUUAUUUACAGUCUAUGAUGAUGACGUGUUCGUUCCAUGAUGUCCUUUGAUGUGUGUUUAGGCGGGAACAGCCGGCUGGUGUCUCUGUGUUCUGAACGGCUGUGGUCGUCUGUCGUGUCCAUGGUCGUGUCCGGUCGUGUCCCAUAAUGCAGAACAAAGCAGUCUGAGCGCUCCAUCCACCUGGUCUCCUGCACUGUGUGGUAGAGAGAGGUUCCUCUUGGUCUGGAUAAAGGGCUGCUGAUCUUCACAUCCUGAAACUACCUGAACACAUGAAGAAUCAGCUAACACAACUGGUGGCAAUGGUCAACUUAAUUCCAGGGAGGAUGACAGAUGAAUGUCCAUCGGAAGUACCUGAAGGCAUUCCAAUUUCCCUUUGGCCCACUGGAGGAGGUUUACUGACUCUAAAAUCUAAUAUAAUUUGUGCUUCAGACGCCAUUCAAAUAUCAAAAUUAUCUAUGUUUUUAAGGACAUUUCUACUAAAACUUCUUGUUUUUUCUGCCUUUUGUACCAUUAAAAUAUUGAACUUUCUUAAUGUUAAAUUUUCUUUCAAAUCUUCAAAUCUUUGCACUUUGCAACAUACUUCAUAUACUUAUGUAUGUUUAUGUCUCUACAUCUACAUCUGUCUAUAGAUAUUAUACAAUUGUUCAGAAAUCUUCCAAACAAAUAAGGAUACUUUUUUUUUAGCA